rnacentral:sRNA from 1 species
AGCAGCCGCGGUAAUUCCAGCUCCAAUAGCGUAUAUUAAAGUUGUUGCAGUUAAAAAGCUCGUAGUUGAAUUUCGAGAUCAAUAUAUCGGUCGUGCCAUCGGUACGUACUGGUAUUAUUGGUUUCUCCUUUCUGACGAACCAUGAUGUCAUUAAUUUGGUGUUAUGGGGAGUUAGGACUGUUACUUUGAAAAAUUAGAGUGUUUAAAGCAGGCUUUAGCUUGAAUACGUUAGCAUGGAAUAAUGAAAUAGGACGUUCGAACCUAUUUUGUUGGUUUCUAGGAUCAACGUAAUGAUUAAUAGGGAUAGUUGGGGGCAUUAGUAUUCAAUUGUCAGAGGUGAAAUUCUUGGAUUUAUUGAAGACUAACUACUGCGAAAGCAUUUGCCAAGGAUGUUUUCAUUAAUCAAGAACG